UCCUCCAAGGCUAAAUACUCCUGACUGACCGAUAGUGAACCAGUACCGUGAGGGAAAGGCGAAAAGAACCCCGGCGAGGGGAGUGAAAAAGAACCUGAAACCGUGUACGUACAAGCAGUGGGAGCACCCUUUGGGGUGUGACUGCGUACCUUUUGUAUAAUGGGUCAGCGACUUAUAUUCUGUAGCAAGGUUAACCGUAUAGGGGAGCCGGAGGGAAACCGAGUCUUAAUUGGGCGUUAAGUUGCAGGGUAUAGACCCGAAA
rnacentral:rRNA from 1 species